rnacentral:misc_RNA from 1 species
AAACCUUCAAGCUCAGCUUGGUGAUGGGUGACUGUCCUCCCCUCGCGGGUGGACUCGCCUCAAAAACAUUGGCGGCCGGUACAUUGGCUUCGAGCGCAGCAGAAACGCGGUCUCGAGCCCGGUGGAUCGGCUCCCAUAAGCCUAUUCUUUUA